GCCUAGUUAGCUUAGUUGGUAAGUGCGUCUGCCUUGUAAGCGCUAGGCCGCGGGUUCGAUUCCCGCCCGGGGCG
rnacentral:tRNA from 1 species